AGGAGCUUAGGCUCCCAAA
rnacentral:snRNA from 1 species